CUGGCGGGCAGACUUGUGCAAGGCCACAAACAGACGCUGACGUAUACUGUGGUCCGAGAAGGUACUCUUCUUGUUUGAUUAUUGUUUAUUUAUUACGCUGUGAUUGUGGAAUUUAUCAGUGUUGAUCAGCAGUAGGUGAAUAACAAGCAUUUGUACGGUGUUCAAUAUCAAGGAAGCCGAGGAAGACAUAGUUCCUUCUUGCGGUGCCUACUGCCACUCUCAGUCCUUUUCGCCGUGGCAAGACAACGACAAGAGUAGCAGAGACGGCGACGAAGGCGUCGCAAAGCAAGCCGGACGAGGCUGCUACUUCCGCUAGUGAAUAACUGAGAGUACGGAAACAAACAAGUGCCUGUUGUCUGCUCAGCAUAUAUAUGGAGUAAUGCUGUCUUCUUCGGUGGUCUUCAACCGAGGUUACAUGAAGUCUUCCCACGAGCACAUGGUUCAGACGGGAAUGGCGACACCCUAUGCGACGCAGUACCCCCAAAAUGGGGAAGCGGGCCCCCCCAAGACCGAACCUGGAAAGGAGGGUCCACCGGUAGCUGUACCCCCGUUUUCACCACCCACUGUUACUCCGAACGGCAUCGAACAACAGACGGUUAGUAUUCAAACAGAGCCGCAAGCAGAAGCACCAACAACACAGGGAGCCCCGGCAGUGAAUGUGACUACAGUAGCCCUUCCAAGUGAACCAGGGAAGAAUCAACCCAAGAGACUCCAUGUCUCAAAUAUCCCAUUCCGGUUUCGAGAUCCAGAUCUUCGGGCUAUGUUUGGGCAAUUUGGUCCAAUUCUUGAUGUAGAAAUAAUUUUUAAUGAAAGGGGUUCCAAGGGAUUCGGUUUUGUAACAUUCGCAAAUAGUGCUGAUGCGGACCGCGCACGAGAGAGACUUCACGGCACCGUGGUUGAGGGAAGAAAGAUAGAGGUGAACAAUGCCACAGCUCGGGUGCAGACCAAGAAGCCACCUACAGUUCCCAACGUUUUUCUGACUAGGAAUGGGACGGUGCCCACACUCGGCUACCGGCUUCCAGCUGUGCCCUGGUCCUGGCUAGGGGGUACAGGGACCCCUCUCACAACACCUUCCACCUCUACAGCAGCUCCCCUGGUGUUGACACCUCGUACUGCUCGGAGGAGCAGCUGCAGCGCUGCGCGGUGUGGCAAUCCAGCGUGGGAGGGCACGUACCGCAUACCCAGCGGCUGCAGCAGCUGCUGCUGCAUUUGCCCGUCACCCAACGCCGCUUACUGCUGCAGCUGCUACUGCACUUCAUGGAUACACACCUGUCUACUACGAUCCCUUCUUAGCAGCACAUGCAGCCACUGCGGACCCAAACUACAGGUUACAGGCCGCCGCAGCUGCUGCGACCCCGCUACUAAAAACCCCUCUGUCGACUGCCCAACAGGCAAGUUAUGCAGCAGCUGCCAGUUACACUGCCGUUGCUGCACGUGCUUAUGGUGCUGCGGCCGCUGCAGCCCAACCCGUGGCAGGCUAUGCAGCUGUUGCAGGUUAUGGUCGUGAAUAUGCAGACCCUUACCUUGGGCAUAGCAUAGGACCUGUUGCUGGAUAUGGGGCAGCAGUUUACCGGAGUGGGUACAAUCGAUUUGCACCAUACUGAAGUGUCUGAAGGAAGGCAUAUUGACACCAGCUUACAUGACACAACCACUACUUGCACCUUGCCUCAUCCAUCACUUAUUAACGUAUCAUCUCGUCAGAUAUCACUUGUCAUCUGCUAUUGUGGCAUUCAUUCUAUGGACAACAUAGGAAAAACAGCUCUGAAUUGUGGGAAACUAUCCUGUAGUCUCAUCUUGUGGCAAGAAAGUGGACUUGUUACAUAGUUUGGCAGCUAUGUUAGUUGGCUGGGACCAGCUGUAGUGCUGAGAGUGAGGAUUGUACCAACUACAUGCCCAGUAUUUGGAUAUCUCAUAGGAAACUGUACUUCUCACUUCUGAUUAUAAUAUGAUUUUGAAAGGUUAAUUUUUUUUAUUGUUCUAGUGUUUUGAGUUAUUUCUGGUUUGUUCCUCACUAUUUGGUAGGGUGCGCAGUUUGAAAUGGUUACAAGAUUCCAACUCAGUACAGGAACUUCGGAACAACUAUGAUUUAGGAAGAAAUGGCAUUAAAUGUUCUAAUAUUAAUUGAUUAAUUAAUUGACAGAUUUGUAACUGUUUUAAUCAUAUGUUUAUGAUUGUAUGUAAAACAGGGAAUUUGUCCUGAACAAAAGACCUCGUGAGUUUUAUCAGUAGAUCAUGGCACAGAUAACUGAAGACCACCCUCCUUAGUUGUUUCCCCAUCAUCAAACUGACAGGUGUAAUGCACAUCUUUUUUUUUUAAUUCAUACCAACUAAACACCAAAUCUUUAGCAGGAGAAGGCAUUUUGCAGUGUCGUGUAAACCUGCCUGGAGAUAAUUUUUGUCAGUCAAUAUAAAUUUUUCUGGCAUGUGAAUAUUUAUACAUAUCCAUAUAGUUUUCAUUUGUGAUUUAUUCUUUAUUACUUGCAGUUAAUUUUCAUAUAUUUAUAAUAGAUGCAGUACUCACUUGUACACCAUUAAUAGAACAGUGAACCAUGUUUUAUGUUCAGUAACAUGCAAGAGCACAAAUGUGCCAUUUGAAGGCAUGUAUCAAGUCUGGGGCUCUGUGCCAGAUCACUCGAUGUAUCAAGUUAAUACUACAUUUCCUGUACAUAUAAUUGCUGUUAAUAUACUCAACAAAUAUCUGCCACAAGGUGGUGGAUUUGUGUACAUGUGAUAAAAGUAUUUUCAGAACAGCAACAUCCUUAUGAAGCUUCAGAUGACUAGCAGUUUUGUCUGGCUUAUGUGUUUAUCAAAUUGUUUCCUGCAAGGGAUCAUACACAAAUCAUUUUUACAUAUACUCAUCUCAUUAAAGAGUGGUGAAGAGGAGGGUGGAUACUGUGUUUUCAUUUCUAUUGCCUGAAGAUUCAGAAUGUGUGAAAGGGAUUGGAUAUAUGUAAAGGAAUAAACAACUGUAAAUGGAUGAUUAUGGGUCAGUAAACAGUAGGCCUAAAUUUUAUCAUAGUUGCUUCUGACAGUCUGAGACACAGAACAGUAUGUCAUGAUAGGCAGUUCUGAUCUUAGCAGUGUCUCAUACGGAAUGCUAAAAAUUGGUACCAAAAGCGACUUUGUGUUACCAAUAGACAGUAGCUGUUUGCAAGGCCCAUAAUCUCAGUCCUUUUGGCCCUGGUGAUGUCCUGAGCUGGAAGGAUUUGCAGAUCUGAAGUGGACAUAUCGGUUUGAAAACUUUGUAAUCAGUGUUUCUGUGUACCUAUACGUUUAAGUCAGUUUCCACGAAAAGCUCUCUUGAAACUCGUCGUGUGAAUGGCAUUGACUUAUGAGUGACAGUUGUAAGGGUGUGAACGAGACAAUUAAAUGCGUUCCAGUGUUUGUGUUAGGUAGGUUAGGUCCCGGUAGGUUAGUUAUAGGGAAAAACACUGACUGUAAUGUAUUCUGCUUUGUGACUCUUUGUCAGAUCAGUUCUUCACAUGAUCCCAUAAGGGAUUUAUUUUAGAUGUAAAAUACACAGUUUUUAGUUCGCUAGUUAGGAAGUAUAAAAUGUAGAAUUGUAGUAAUAUUAACACUGCAUAAAAUUAUAUUUGCAGAAGCUCUCAUGUGGGAUGUGUUUUAUAUUAAACAUUUGAAAGGGAAAACAGCAACUGAUUCAAAUGUGUAAUGACAGUUGGGACAUUUUUCAUAAUUUUCUAGAAUUGUAAGUUUGAACCUAAGCAAGAACUUGUUACCGCCUUUCAUAUUGGUCUGAAUUUUUGGAAACGUAGGGAGUUUUUGGCAACAACCUCUGGUAUCCAAGUGGUACUGAAGAACCAAAGACAUGACCAGUAUUUUAUCUGCUCAAUUUCAAAAAGUGGUUUGCAUGCUGGGUGACACAGAUCACAUUGGCCUGCAUUUCUGUCCUGUAGUUAAUACUUUUUUCAAAUUCCUCUAAUUCAAGCUCUGUUCAGAAGAUUCAGCAGAAUAUUGAAAGUUUCAGAACCAUGACGUCUUCCGUUUUGGCACAAUUUAAAACUUAUCUGCACACUGGUUGUUAUCUAACAUAAGGAGCACAAAUGAAGGGAUCUUUUUAUAUGUAUUGUGAGCCCAUUAUGUUUAUCUCUGUUGUUAUAUUUUUAAAUUACAUGUGGCUUUUCCUUCAUGGGAACCAUGCUGUUUUAGUUUCAUUCAGGUAAAUAUGGCAACAUAUGAUGUCUACAGCAGUUUCUGAACAGUGUAGAUAUUUGAUGUGCACAUGCAAGCUGUAGGUAUCUUCAUGAGAAUGUACAAGAGGUAGGAAGUGAGAUUUAUAUACACAACGUUCUGAAGACAAGUGGGUGAAUAUUCUUGUGUGGGAGUGACUAGUAGAAGAAUGAAUCUCAGCCAGAAUGUACAAAGUCUCAACAUUGUUACUUGCCGUAUUGUCUGUGUAUUCGUGGAAUAAAACAUGCUAUCAAAUUUCACAGGA